rnacentral:rRNA from 1 species
CCCUUAGAUGUCCUGGGCCGCACGCGCGCUACACUGAUGCAUUCAACGAGUAUUUCCUUGGCCGAGAGGCCUGGGCAAUCUUUUAAACCUGCAUCGUGAUAGGGAUAGAUUAUUGCAAUUAUUAAUCUUGAACGAGGAAUUCCUAGUAAACGCAAAUCGUCAAUUUGCAUUGAUUACGUCCCUGCCCUUUGUACACACCGCCCGUCGCACCUACCGAUUGAAUGGUCCGGUGAAAUCUCGGGAUUGUGGCCAGUUCACUUUAUUGGGAGUUGGCUGCGAGAACUUGCUUAAACCUUAUCAUUUAGAGGAAGGUGAAGUCGUAACA